UACGUAGGGUGCGAGCGUUAAUCGGAAUUACUGGGCGUAAAGCGUGCGCAGGCGGUUUUGUAAGUCUGUCGUGAAAUCCCCGGGCUCAACCUGGGAAUUGCGAUGGAGACUGCAAGGCUAGAAUCUGGCAGAGGGGGGUAGAAUUCCAACGUGUAGCAGUUGAAAUGCGUAGAGAUGGUGGGAGGAACACCGAUGGCGAAGGCAGCCCCCUGGGCUG
rnacentral:rRNA from 1 species